UAGCCAAAUGUGGCGUAUCAACGUUAAAAUGAUCUUAAAACAAAAAAUUUAUAGAUUUAUUUGGGUCAAUUAUAACAAUUCCAUUCAAACUUGUUGGAUGAGUUUUAUACCCAAUAAUUCUUACGUAAUCUUUGUAUUUUGUAUAAAACCUUCUUUACAGAUAGAAAAAAGUCCUAACCAGCUUCAAAAGAUCAAACAGGGAAACACUUUUUAAUUAUAUACAUAUUUAUUUAUUUUCUGAACAGAAAAUUAUUUUCUUAUAAAUAUCGGAUGUACAAAAUAAAUAUAUAGAAGGAAAAUUGCAUUUGUAUAAAAACAUAAUUCAACAUUGUACUUAUAAAUUAAUUUCCUUCUAAAAACCUAAAAAUCAAAAAUAAUAAAACUGUUACUAAUUUUAUCCAUAAAGUCCUCAAACGGACUAUAUGGAGACUGCAGACUAUUUGAAGACCCAAGAUUAAUUUAUCAUGACUCUAUGUGCACAGUCGUCGUAUCCCUAGAUCUUGUCGAGAGUUCCUUGCUCCUGGUUGGAUGAAUGAGCAAGUCUACUUACUACCUAUGUUAACAGUAUGCUAUACCAAAAGAUGAGAUGCCCAACGCGUCUCAGUGCACACGAGCAGGAGAGUCUGGACGCUGAAACAGGUGAAAAUAAUAACUCAAGCUUAUUGAAGAGUCAAUAGUAAAUAGGAAUUAUUCUGCUGAGUUGGUCAUUAUUUUUUUAAGAAUGCCUACUUGCUUUUCGUUCGGUUACAAAAUCACUCGAAUCAAUGGACAGUUCCCAGGCCCUGACAUAUCGUUUUCCUAUUGAGUCUAAAGAAAGGAAGACUUAGCACUUCGGCAAAAAAAAAACAUCGACUAAUCGAAGAAAGAAGCGUAUUUUACCUGGAGCUAUGAAUACCAUGUAAUUUAUAUUUUCCAAAGUGUCAUGUCCAAGGAUUACAACCAAUUCUGUCAAGUCGACAUAGCAGCUAAUAUAUGAGUCCGACCUAAUGUGCGAGAUUCCAAAGUCCAAACUUCCCCAGGCAGUAAAAAAAAGCCCUUUAUGCCUCUAGUAUGCUUAAUGGCCUUGAUAAAAGUGAAAGUUCAAGGAUCCAAUUUAUUGUUGGACAGGCUACUAGCAAAAAUGUUCUCCAAGUAACGCAUCUUUUAUGCUGACAGAAAUUAAGACAAGGAGGAAACAAGCAGUGGCAUUUCACCUCUCUGUAAAUUCGUUUGACCCUAUGCAGAUUGUUUCUUCAUAUAAUUAAAAACAUUAUUUGUUCAGCAUUCGACAUCGGCUACUAUGUGGCUUCUAUUACCAGUAACAAUCCGCAACCGUGAUGAUAAUUUCCUGUCCUAUAGGUUUUGUUGAAUUAAAUGUAUUUAUCUAUGCUUUUAGUGGUGUGGAAGACCACAUUUAAAGACACAUUUCUGUCUGUAAUAUUUUCUUCUAAAAUAAAGAUCAAUAGGAUAUA
rnacentral:lncRNA from 1 species